rnacentral:rRNA from 1 species
AUUGAACGCUGGCGGCAGGCCUAACACGUGCAAGUCGAGCGGAUGACGGGAGCUUGCUCCUUGAUUCAGCGGCGGACGGGUGAGUAAUGCCUAGGAAUCUGCCUGGUAGUGGGGGACAACGUUUCGAAAGGAACGCUAAUACCGCAUACGUCCUACGGGAGAAAGCAGGGGACCUUCGGGCCUUGCGCUAUCAGAUGAGCCUAGGUCGGAGUAGCUAGUAGGUGAGGUAAUGGCUCACCUAGGCGACGAUCCGUAACUGGUCUGAGAGGAUGAUCAGUCACACUGGAACUGAGACACGGUCCAGACUCCUACGGGAGGCAGCAGUGGGGAAUAUUGGACAAUGGGCGAAAGCCUGAUCCAGCCAUGCCGCGUGUGUGAAGAAGGUCUUCGGAUUGUAAAGCACUUUAAGUUGGGAGGAAGGGCAGUAAGCUAAUACCUUGCUGUUUUGACGUUACCGACAGAAUAAGCACCGGCUAACUCUGUGCCAGCCGCCGCUGUAACAC